GAUGAAGAACGUAGCGAAAUGCGAUACGUAGUGUGAAUUGCAGAAUUCAGUGAAUCAUCGAAUCUUUGAACGCACAUUGCACCUCUCGGUAUUCCGGGAGGUAUGCCUGUUCGAGCGUCAUUUCAACCAUCAAGCCCCCGGCUUGUGUUGGGGACCUGCGGCUGCCGCAGGCCCUGAAAAGCAGUGGCGGGCUCGCUGUCACACCGAGCGUAGUAGCAUACAUCUCGCUCUGGGCGUGCUGCGGGUUCCGGCCGUUAAACCACCUUCAUAACCCAAGGUUGACCUCGGAUCAGGUAGGAAGACCCGCUGAACUUAAGCAUAUCAAUAAGCGGAGGA
rnacentral:misc_RNA from 1 species